rnacentral:rRNA from 1 species
UACGUAGGGUGCGAGCGUUAAUCGGAAUUACUGGGCGUAAAGCGUGCGCAGGCGGACAUGUAAGUCAGAUGUGAAAUCCCCGGGCUUAACCUGGGAAUUGCAUUUGAAACUGUAUGUCUAGAGUGCGUCAGAGGGGGGUGGAAUUCCACGUGUAGCAGUGAAAUGCGUAGAGAUGUGGAGGAACACCGAUGGCGAAGGCAGCCCCCUGGGAUGACACUGACGCUCAUGCACGAAAGCGUGGGGAGCAAACAGGAUUAGAUACCCUGGUAGUCCACGCCCUAAACGAUGUCAACUAGCUGUUGGGUGCGAGAGUACUCAGUAGCGAAGCUAACGCGUGAAGUUGACCGCCUGGGGAGUACGGCCGCAAGGUUGAA